rnacentral:rRNA from 1 species
GAUGAACGCUGGCGGCGUGCCUAAUACAUGCAAGUCGAGCGAACAGAUGAGAAGCUUGCUUCUCUGAUGUUAGCGGCGGGCGGGUGAGUAACACGUGGGUAACCUACCUAUAAGACUGGGAUAACUCCGGGAAACCGGGGCUAAUACCGGAUAAUAUUUUGAACCGCAUGGCUCGAUAGUGAAAGACGGUUUCGGCUGUCACUUAUAGAUGGACCCGCGCCGUAUUAGCUAGUUGGUAAGGUAACGGCUUACCAAGGCGACGAUACGUAGCCCAGCUGAGAGGGUGAUCGGCCACACUGGAACUGAGACACGGUCCAGACUCCUACGGGAGGCAGCAGUAGGGAAUCUUCCGCAAUGGGCGAAAGCCUGACGGAGCAACGCCGCGUGAGUGAUGAAGGUCUUCGGAUCGUAAAACUCUGUUGUUAGGGAAGAACAAAUUUGUUAGUAACUGAACAAGUCUUGACGGUACCUAACCAGAAAGCCACGGCUAACUACGUGCCAGCAGCCGCAGUAA